rnacentral:rRNA from 1 species
UACGAAGGGGGCUAGCGUUGCUCGGAAUCACUGGGCGUAAAGCGCACGUAGGCGGAUUGUUAAGUCAGGGGUGAAAUCCUGGAGCUCAACUCCAGAACUGCCUUUGAUACUGGCAAUCUCGAGUUCGGGAGAGGUGAGUGGAACUGCGAGUGUAGAGGUGAAAUUCGUAGAUAUUCGCAAGAACACCAGUGGCGAAGGCGGCUCACUGGCCCGAUACUGACGCUGAGGUGCGAAAGCGUGGGAGCAAACAGGG